rnacentral:rRNA from 1 species
AUUGAACGCUGGCGGCAGGCUUAACACAUGCAAGUCGAGCGGAGAUGAGGUGCUUGCACCUUAUCUUAGCGGCGGACGGGUGAGUAAUGCUUAGGAAUCUGCCUAUUAGUGGGGGACAACAUUCCGAAAGGAAUGCUAAUACCGCAUACGUCCUACGGGAGAAAGCAGGGGAUAUUCGGACCUUGCGCUAAUAGAUGAGCCUAAGUCGGAUUAUCUAGUUGGUGGGGUAAAGGCCUACCAAGGCGACGAUCUGUAGCGGGUCUGAGAGGAUGAUCCGCCACACUGGGACUGAGACACGGCCCAGACUCCUACGGGAGGCAGCAGUGGGGAAUAUUGGACAAUGGGGGGAACCCUGAUCCAGCCAUGCCGCGUGUGUGAAGAAGGCCUUAUGGUUGUAAAGCACUUUAAGCGAGGAGGAGGCUACUGAGACUAAUACUCUUGGAUAGUGGACGUUACUCGCAGAAUAAGCACCGGCUAACUCUGUGCCAGCCGCCGCGGUAACAC